rnacentral:tRNA from 1 species
GCCCUUAUAGCUCAGUUGGUAGAGCGCUUGAUUUGUAAUCAAGAUGUCGCUGGUUCAAAUCCGGCUGGGGGCUCCA